rnacentral:rRNA from 1 species
GGGAGAGCACGAGCCGGAAAUGGAAAAGCCGGUACAAGCGUAUAGCAGUCAUGCAGGCAAAACCGCAUGAAAAAUGUAAAGCGUUAUGUGGAUCGAACAUUAGUAGAGAAGCGUGUGAGCCAGCUGCCAAGAAAAGCCGCUAUUGCUUCAUAAGUACCCGUACCGUAAACCGACACAGGUGGAUGAGGAGAGAAUCCUAAGGCCGGCGGGAGAAGUGUUGUUAAGGAACUCGGCAAAAUGACUCCGUAACUUCGGGAGAAGGAGUGCCACAGAGAUGUGGCCGCAGAGAAAUGGCCCAAGCAACUGUUUAGCAAAAACACAGGUCUAUGCAAAACCGAAAGGUGAGGUAUAUGGGCUGACGCCUGCCCGGUGCUGGAAGGUUAAGAGGAGAGGUUAGAGCAAUCGAAGCUUUGAAUUUAAGCCCCAGUAAACGGCGGCCGUAACGAUAACGGUCCUAAGGUAGCGAAAUUCCUUGUCGGGUAAGUUCCGACCCGCACGAAAGGCGUAAUGAUUUGGGCACUGUCUCAACAACACACCCGGUGAAAUUGAAAUACCAGUGAAGAUGCUGGUUACCUGCGCCAGGACGGAAAGACCCCAUGGAGCUUUACUCCAGUUUGAUACUGGGAUUCGGUACUGUCUGUACAGGAUAGGUGGGAGGCUAGGAAAUGGUGACGCCAGUUGCCAUGGAGCCAACCUUGGGAUACCACCCUUACAGUACUGGGUUUCUAACCUGCAGCCGUGACCCGGCUGGGGGACAAUGUCUGACGGGGAGUUUGACUGGGGCGGUCGCCUCCGAAAGAGUAUCGGAGGCGCUCAAAGGUUCCCUCAGAACGGUUGGAAACCGUUCGAAGAGUGCAAAGGCAGAAGGGAGCUUGACUGCGACACCGACGGGUGGAGCAGAUACGAAAGUAGGACUUAGUGAUCCGGUGUAUAAAGUGGGAUUGCCAUCGCUCAACGGAUAAAAGCUACCCUGGGAUAACAGGCUUAUCACUCCCAAGAGUUCACAUCGACGGAGUGGUUUGGCACCUCGAUGUCGGCUCAUCGCAUCCUGGAGCUGUAGCAGGUUCCAAGGGUUGGGCUGUUCGCCCAUUAAAGCGGUACGCGAGCUGGGUUCAGAACGUCGUGAGACAGUUCGGUCCCUAUCCGGCGUGGGCGUAGGAUAUUUGAGAGGAGCUGUCCUUAGUACGAGAGGACCGGGAUGGACAAACCUCUGGUGUAUCUGUUGUUUUACCAAAGGCAUGGCAGAGUAGCCAAGUUUGGCAGGGAUAAACGCUGAAGGCAUCUAAGCGUGAAGCCCCCCUCAAGAUAAGAUAUCCCAUCUUCGGAGUAAGACCCCUUGAAGACUACAAGGUUGAUAGGCUUCAGGUGUAAGUGUGGUAACGCACUCAGCUGAGAAGUACUAAUAGGUCGAGGACUUAUCAAG